GACGAACGCUGGCGGCGUGCUUAACACAUGCAAGUCGAACGGAAAGACCCUGCUUUUGUGGGGUGCUCGUGUGGCGAACGGGUGAGUAACACGUGAGUAUCCUGCCCUUGACUUUGGGAUAUCUUCAGGAAACUGGGGCUAAUACCGGAUAGGAGCUCCUGCUGCAUGGUGGGGGUUGGAAAGUUUCGGCGGUUGGGGAUGGACUCGCGGCUUAUCAGCUUGUUGGUGGGGUAGUGGCUUACCAAGGCUUUGACGGGUAGCCGGCCUGAGAGGGUGAACGGGCACAAUGGGACUGAGAGACGGACCAGACUGCUACGGGAGGCAGCAGUGGAGAAUAUGGCGCAAUGGGCGGAAGUCUGAUGCAGCAACGCCGCGUGCGGGAUGACGGGCUUCGGGGUGUAAACCGCUUUCGACUGAGACGAAGCGGGAGUGACGGUAAUGGGUAAAGAAGCACCGGCUAACUACGUG
rnacentral:rRNA from 1 species